rnacentral:rRNA from 1 species
GAUGAACGCUGGCGGCGUGCUUAACACAUGCAAGUCGAACGGACCAAAUGGAGCCUAGCUCCAUGCGGUUAGUGGCGGACGGGUGAGUAACGCGUGGGUAAUCUACCUUAUACAAAGGAAUAACACAAAGAAAUUUGUGCUAAAACCUUAUAAGCUUACACUACCUUAUGGUAGAGUAAGAAAAAAUUUAUUGGUAUAAGAUGAGCCCGCGUCCGAUUAGCUAGUUGGUGGGAUAACAGCCUACCAAGGCAACGAUCGGUAACCGGCCUGAGAGGGUGACCGGUCACACUGGGACUGAGACACGGCCCAGACUCCUACGGGAGGCAGCUAGUGGGGAAUAUUGCACAAUGGGGGAAACCCUGAUGCAGCAACGCCGCGUGAAGGAUGAAGGUUUUCGGAUCGUAAACUUCUAUCAGUAGGGAUGAAAGAAAAUGACAGUACCUAACUAAGAAGCCCCGGCUAACUACGUGCCAGCAGCCGCGGUAAUACGUAGGGGGCAAGCGUUAUCCGGAUUUACUGGGGUGUAAAGGGUGCGUAGGUGGCAUGUUAAGUUAGAUGUGAAAGCCCAAGGCUUAACUUUGGGAUUGCAUCUAAAACUGGCAAGCUAGAGUGCAGGAGAGG